rnacentral:piRNA from 1 species
UAGUUCACAAAUCUCAUUGUGAAGAGGCA